CACCGUCCGACUGUGCUAGAAAUCCAAAGAUUCAUUGACUUUAUUUUCACUUAUCCAACACUUUCCCUAUUCGUGAACGUGUUUACUUGUCUCAAACCCACACUGUUUAGAAUAGAAUCUCUGUUGUAUACAAAGCAUCCUCUAACGUAACUGAGACAUAAUGACAAGCAUUGUUUACCUUGUAAAUUUAUUGUUUUCCAUGUAUCCAUAUUGCGAAUUAUGAGAUUUCGCUAUUCCGUGCAAGUCAUUUGUUUUGUGUGCAGCUAAUAUUAUGUUAGUUUAUUCCUAGAAUGACAUUUUAUUUUCAAAAAUGUCUUAAUUAAUUAACUAUAAUAAUCCUAGUUUUUUCCAUUGUUCUUUUUUUCUUGUUCUUUUUGGAGUUCGUUUAUAAUCUCCACAAAUUUUGAAACGCUUCCAUUAAAGAAGCCAUAUAUACUAAGUCUUGUUUACUUAUUUAUUUAUCUUUUAGUCAAACUCAAUUUACUGUAGCAAAAAAUAUUUUAUUGAAUGACGAACAUGAGUUGCGAUGUGGCAUGCAUGUAGUUUUAAAACACAAGUAUUUUAGUUGUUAUUUUGGAAAUUUAACAUCGUAUCUUACAUUCUAAGAUACGAUACUAUAAUAUUUGUAGUUUACUUAUGUAGGGUUCAAGGAUCACUUACAAUGCAAUGAGCACACAACACCUGCUUUAUAGUCUGCGCAAGAACACGCCUGAGACUGUUUACUCCGACAUCCAUUUAUUUGCUAAAGAUGAAAGCUAGCUUACACCUUCACAACCAACUUGUUUUGGGGCAAAUAAGCAAGAUACAUGUGUAUUUAUGACACCCAAAGUCACCCACAUUCACCCUCUUGUCUAUUAGAUUAACACGUGGAGCUGCCUGUAUACUUUUUAUUUAUAUGAGUAUUUGUUCUUUUCUUCGUUAAUAUCCAAUAAAGAAGAUAUUU
rnacentral:misc_RNA from 1 species